rnacentral:ncRNA from 1 species
GAAUCACGGUUGAAACAAGAUUUACCAUGAGAAGUCAGCAGACGCCAUAGUACCCCGGCUAGUCGACAAACCGGGGGAAGGGC